ensembl:snRNA U6 U6 spliceosomal RNA
GUGCUCACUUUGGCAGCACAUAUACUAAAGUUGGAAUGAUACAGAGAAGAUUAGCAUGGCCCCUGUGCAAGGAUGACAUGCAAAUUCAUGAAGCAUUCCAUACUUUU